GAUUCCUCAAAUCAUUCUUCAGCACUCACCUUUGCCAUCUAUUCUGGUGGGUACUAGUGAAAUCUCACUGUGAUUUUAAUUUCUGUCUUCUUGGUGACUAAGAAUAGAAUUCACCAGUUGAAAGCAUCCAUUUCUAUUUCUUCUUUGUCAGCUUUGAAUGUCUUUCCUGGCAUAUAUAGAAGAUGCAAAGAUUAAAGGGGACACGGGUUUGAGCCAUGGUCUGGGAAGAUCCC